rnacentral:rRNA from 1 species
CCUACGGGAGGCAGCAGUGGGGAAUUUUGGACAAUGGGCGCAAGCCUGAUCCAGCCAUGCCGCGUGCGGGAAGAAGGCCUUCGGGUUGUAAACCGCUUUUGUCAGGGAAGAGAAGGUUCUGGAUAAUACCUGGGACUCAUGACGGUACCUGAAGAAUAAGCACCGGCUAACUACGUGCCAGCAGCCGCGGUAAUACGUAGGGUGCAAGCGUUAAUCGGAAUUACUGGGCGUAAAGCGUGCGCAGGCGGUUAUGCAAGACAGAGGUGAAAUCCCCGGGCUCAACCUGGGAACUGCCUUUGUGACUGCAUAGCUAGAGUACGGUAGAGGGGGAUGGAAUUCCGCGUGUAGCAGUGAAAUGCGUAGAUAUGCGGAGGAACACCGAUGGCGAAGGCAAUCCCCUGGACCUGUACUGACGCUCAUGCACGAAAGCGUGGGGAGCAAACAGGAUUAGAUACCCUGGUAGUCCACGCCCUAAACGAUGUCAACUGGUUGUUGGGAGGGUUUCUUCUCAGUACGUAGCUAACGCGUGAAGUUGACGCCUGGGGNGNGCGCGAGUGAGANAAGAGUAGAGNGNGAGAGNGCGAGACGACGACGAGGGAGGAGG